UUACUUCUUGAAGGAAGGAAAACGAAAUCGAGAGAAGGAGACGGUGGAUGAUUUUCUGGAAAUUUUUCAGUUGCAUGCCGUGUUUUGAUUGGAGAGAAAUCGGAGGAAAUUUGAAUAGCGAAGAAGUUUAGAAUCUCUUUCUUUUUCUUUCUUUCUUUAAAUAUUCAUAAUACAUUAAUACAAGUCCAUCUUGACAUGUUCUCUGCGCUCGAUUCAGUUACGCACAUCUAAAAUUCGUCGACGAUCGUCUCGUCUCGUCUCUGAUUUAGGCAAGUUUUGUAGGUUUUGAGCAACAAAACGCAGGAAAUUUGAAAUCUCAGGUACAAGUACAAGUACAAACACAACACAACAACCGUAGGGUUUCAAUUUCUCGAAUCAAGAUUUCUCCGGCCGGAAGAAACUGAAGAAAAUGCAGAGAUUGCGUGGGGAGUUUGUGAUGGGUUUGUUCAUAAUAUCCAAGUGAGAUGGACAUCAGACUGUGCCAAUGGUUGGGGUGAUGGUGACAGGUUUUGUGAGGGAGAGAAAAAGAGGAAAGGCCAUGUGCAAAAGCCAACUUUUAAGGCCACUGUCUCAUUGGAUUUGGGUUAAUGCUAAAUAGUCAUUAUAGCC